rnacentral:misc_RNA from 1 species
AAUCAGUUGAUAAUCUUUCUUAAUGCAAGCCAAACAGGAAAGAGAAAAAGGGGCAUAAUAUUUAUUGUCAGAUUAGGGGCUCAGAACCCUUAACAGACAAUCAUCAGAAUUAAAUUCCCUUCACAAUGAGGCAUCAUGAAAUAGAAGCUGAAACACGGAGAUGCAGGUUUUGUGCUGUGGAUUUUGCUUGGAGUUUGAUAUAAAUUAAUCUAAGUUAAAAUAUUUGCUGAACCAUCUCGGGAGUUAUCCGGAGGGUGGUCUUGAAAAUGGAGGAUCAGAUAGCUUUUGGUGAAGUGCCUUCAGUGGAUUUGCUCAGGGAAAUAAAAUUGGAAGAAGAUGAGGAAG